AAUAGAUACCCGGGUAGUCCACGCUGUAAACGAUGUCAACUAGCUGUUGGUUAUAUGAAAAUAAUUAGUGGCGCAGCAAACGCGAUAAGUUGACCGCCUGGGGAGUACGGUCGCAAGAUUAAAACUCAAAGGAAUUGACGGGGGGCCCGCACAAGCGGUGGAGCAUGUGGUUUAAUUCGAUGCAACGCGAAGAACCUUACCUACCCUUGGCAUACAGUGAAUUUUGCAGAGAUGCAUUAGUGCCUUCGGGAACACUGAUACAGGUGCUGCAUGGCUGUCGUCAGCUCGUGUCGUGAGAUGUUGGGUUAAGUCCCGUAACGAGCGCAACCCUUAUCCUUAGUUGCCAGCAUGUGAUGGUGGGGACUCUAAGGAGACUGCCGGUGACAAACCGGAGGAAGGCGGGGAUGGCGUCAAGUCAUCAUGGCCCUUACGGGUAGGGCUACACACGUGCUACAAUGGCCGAUACAGAGGGCGGCGAAGGGGCGACCUGGAGCAAAUCCUUAAAAGUCGGUCGUAGUCCGGA
rnacentral:rRNA from 1 species